ensembl:lncRNA
ACCGGAGUUUCUGUCAGAGCAUGUGCAAAGCGCAGGCAGGGGGGAGAGGAGGUUGUAAAGUCUGGCUGUCAAAACUUCCUCUCUGACUGAGAACAGAGGAGCCUGGCGAUAAGAGCGGGGCGGUGGAGACGGCAGGAGACCCCUGGGUGACCCUUUCGGUCAGGUUUCAGCAAGAUCUGGGCCCAGACACGAGCACCUUGGAGGUGAGCUGCUUUCACUUUAUUUGCAAGCUGUUUGAUUGUUGUGCAUACCUGAGAGGGAAAAAGAGACAAAUAUAUAGAAGACACAAGCAAUAAUAAUAACUUUUAAGGCCAGCAUACUCAUGUAAAUGAAUGCAAACACUUCUAGCGAUGCAAAAUUGAUUCAUGGGUCACCGCAGUAUGAAAUGUGACAGAGUGCAAUUCGUAAAGCAAUUUGCAUGCAAGGCAUUGCA